rnacentral:tRNA from 1 species
ACGAAAAUAGCUUAAAUAAAGCAUUGAUUUUGUAAAUCAAAAAAGGAUGUGUCCUUUUCGUU